AACGAACGCUGGCGGCAUGCCUAACACAUGCAAGUCGAACGAGACCUUCGGGUCUAGUGGCGCACGGGUGCGUAACGCGUGGGAACCUUCCCUUAGGUUCGGAAUAACUCCCCGAAAGGGGUGCUAAUACCGGAUAAUGUCUUCGGACCAAAGAUUUAUCGCCUUUGGAUGGGCCCGCGUUGGAUUAGCUAGUUGGUAGGGUAAAAGCCUACCAAGGCGACGAUCCAUAGCUGGUCGGAGAGGAUGAUCAGCCACACUGGGACUGAGACACGGCCCAGACUCCUACGGGAGGGAGCAGUGGGGAAUAUUGGACAAUGGGCGAAAGCCUGAUCAAGCAAUGCCGCGUGAGUGAUGAAGGCCUUAGGGUUGUAAAGCUCUUUUACCCGGGAUGAUAAUGACAGUACCGGGAGAAUAAGCUCCGGCUAACUCCGUG
rnacentral:rRNA from 1 species